rnacentral:lncRNA from 14 species
GCAUCCCAUCCUAUUGUAUCCCAUCCCAUCUGUAUCUCAUCCAUAUUCUAUCCCAUCUACUUCAUCCCAUAUCAUACUAUUCCAUCUGUAUCUCAUCUUAUUUCAUCCUAUCCCAUCUGUACCUCACUCCAUCUUCUCCCACCUGUAUCCCAUCCCACCUGUAUCCCAUCCAUACCCCCUCCCAUUUACUUCACCCCAUCCCAUCUGUACCUCACCCCAUCCCAUCCCCACCACCCCCAUGUCCUACCUUGACAGGCAUCCCCCACUCUCUGGUACCCAGCCCGGCACAGGCACUCCCCGAUGGGCACCAGCCACUCUCCAUCCGCAUUGCAGUGCAGCGCCGGCGCCUGCUCCGCCACCGCCUCCUCCACGCAGGUUCCCCUCACCUCGGCCAGGGUCUGCGAGUCCCCCCCGGCCACGGUGUGCGGGAACCGCGCCAUCCCCCGCAGCACCGCCGGGCACCGCUUGUAGUAGACGCGCACCGAGAGCAGCGCCACGCACGCGCCCAGGUCCUGGAAGGCCAAGUAGAAGCCUUUGCGCGUGAGCGGCCCCACCGAGCGCACCUCCACGUUGAGCUUCACGUUCCGGGUGACGAAGUCCUCCUGCACCGUGAUCUCAUCCGGGGCGAUGGUGUCGAUCUUCCUGAACUGCCUCUUCUGGAAGUUGGUGCCGUAAUCCACGUCCGACUCCGCGUAGUACAGGUUGAAGGUCUCCUUGCAGGUGCCGCCGCCGCCGCUGGGGAAGCUGUUGCAGUCGCGGACGGUGAACUGGAGCUCGAUGAAGAUGCGCUGGGCCACACCGCGGUAGAUCCAGUUGGUGCGGAGCCAGUUGUCCUGCUCACCCUCCAGCACGUUGCACACCAGGUAGAGGUAGAUGGAGGAGUCGUUGAGCAUGUUCUGCAGCAGGUCCCACUGGGACAGAGGGAGAGAGAGCGUGGCUAUGGGGGGGAAACUGAGGCAGGGGGAGGGUGGCCCCUGUCCCUAUGGGUGCACUGGUCCUCAUUGCCAAUGAGGUCCCCAUCCCAAUGAAUAUCUCUAACACCAUGGGUGUCCUCAUCCAUAUGGAUGCUCCCACACUCAUCC